UGGGGAAUAUUGCACAAUGGGCGAAAGCCUGAUGCAGCAACGCCGCGUGAGUGAUGAAGGCCUUCGGGUUGUAAAGCUCUGUCUUCUGGGACGAUAAUGACGGUACCAGAGGAGGAAGCCACGGCUAACUACGUGCCAGCAGCCGCGGUAAUACGUAGGUGGCAAGCGUUGUCCGGAUUUACUGGGCGUAAAGGAUGCGUAGGCGGAUACUUAAGUCAGAUGUGAAAAUCCCGGGCUUAACUUGGGAACUGCAUUUGAAACUAUAUAUCUAGAGUGCAGGAGAGGAAAGCGGAAUUCCUAGUUUAGCGGUGAAAUGCGUAGAGAUUAGGAAGAACACCAGUGGGGAAGGCGGCUUUCUGGACUGUAACUGACACUGAGGCAUGAAAGCGUGGGGAG
rnacentral:rRNA from 1 species